UUCACUCCCCCGUCACUGCCCCUCCGCCGCCGGGUCGCCCAUAUCUGCCGUCGGGCAGCUCGGCGGCGGAUCGCUCAAUAUGUGUAGGGCCCUUAAGUCAGACAUAACCCGAGAUCUGGUUGGGUAGAGCAAUUAACAGGCUUGGAUGGGGACCACUGCUUUGAAGUCAGAUAUCUCCGGUUCCCUAGGGCCGAUUUAAAAAAAAAUCUGGUACCCCUGGAAAAAGGGGUCCAUAUGCCUAGGGCCCUUAUACUCCUGGGGCCCUUGAGCAACUUCCCAUUGAGCUCAUUCACAUAAAUGGCCCUGUAUUGGGAUACUUGAGGACUGGAGUUGAGAAACCCUGUACUAAAAUUCACCUUGAAUAAUAUAUUUUCCCUUGAGGGGUCAAUAGUGUAAUGAUUCAUUUUGUGAUUAGUAAUCAUUUAAACCUUAGAGUGGAAGCGAUUUCCUAUACAUUAUAAAAGUAUGCUUUAGUCUUCAUACUACUGUUUUGAUAUUCUGAACAGAGAACCUAAUUUUUCAGCAGGAUUGCUGUAUGAAAUGUUGCAGCUCCACUGCAUCCUCAAAGACUAGGAAGACUUGCACAAUAAAUGAAGCCCAGGUCAUACAGCAUAUUAGAAGAUAAUUUACAGUUGUUGCAUAUCCCAAAUUCAGCCCAUACACUUAACCCUGCUUUUCUCAAGCCAGAAGUGAAUCGAUGACAAACAGCAGCCUUUCUGGAAAUUGGUUACUGCAAGUUUAAAACACUGGACAUUGGAGAAUGGAUUGCAUUGUAAUACUGCGGUGCAUGCUGGGAAACACCUGGUUCCUAGCUAACAAGCAAUGCCUGGUCAGGCCUUGCAUAUGCCCAUUCCAAGCACUUUCAGCGUGGUCUUGAGCAUUUCCCACAAAGUGCCACCAUUGUAUAUGAAUUUGCAUAACCAAUAAAUAUUCAGGAUUAUAUUCAGCAUUUA